UACGUAGGUGGCGAGCGUUGUCCGGAUUUAUUGGGCGUAAAGCGCCCGCAGGCGGCCUGGCAAGUUUCAGGUGAAAUCUCCCGGCUUAACUGGGAGGGGUCCUGGAAAACUGCCAGGCUUGAGGCAGGGAGAGGGAUGUGGAAUUCCCGGUGUAGUGGUGAAAUGCGUAGAUAUCGGGAGGAACACCAGUGGCGAAGGCGGCAUCCUGGCCCUGUCCUGACGCUCAGGGGCGAAAGCGUGGGGAGCAAACCGG
rnacentral:rRNA from 1 species